CCCGCACAAGCAGUGGAGUAUGUGGUUUAAUUCGAAGCAACGCGAAGACCUUACCAGGGCUUGACAUCCCUUGAAGCAGCUAGAGAUAGCUGUGUCCUUCGGGACAAGGAGACAGGUGGUGCAUGGUUGUCGUCAGCUCGUGUCGUGAGAUGUUGGGUUAAGUCCCGCAACGAGCGCAACCCUUAUCUUUAAUUGCCAGCAUUCAGUUGGGCACUUUAAAGAGACUGCCGGUGUUAAACCGGAGGAAGGUGGGGAUGACGUCAAGUCCUCAUGGCCUUUAUGCUUAGGGCUACACACGUGCUACAAUGGGUGGUACAAAGAGAAGCCAACUCGCGAGAGCGCGCCAAUCUCAAAAAGCCAUCCUCAGUUCGGAUUGGAGUCUGCAACUCGACUCCAUGAAGUUGGAAUCGCUAGUAAUCGCGGAUCAGCAUGCCGCGGUGAAUACGUUCCCGGGCCUU
rnacentral:rRNA from 1 species